rnacentral:rRNA from 1 species
GAUUCUGGCUCAGGAUGAACGCUAGCGACAGGCUUAACACAUGCAAGUCGAGGGGCAGCACGGGAGUAGCAAUACUUGGUGGCGACCGGCGCACGGGUGAGUAACGCGUAUGCAACCUACCUAUCAGGAGGGGAACUAACCCGGCGAAAGUCGGACUAAUACCGCAUAAAACAGGGGCACCGCAUGGUGAUAUUUGUUAAAGAAAUUCGCUGAUAGAUGGGCAUGCGUUCCAUUAGGUAGUUGGUGAGGUAACGGCUCACCAAGCCGACGAUGGAUAGGGGAACUGAGAGGUUGGUCCCCCACACUGGUACUGAGACACGGACCAGACUCCUACGGGAGGCAGCAGUGAGGAAUAUUGGUCAAUGGGCGGAAGCCUGAACCAGCCAAUGCCGCGUGCAGGAUGACGGCCCUACGGGUUGUAAACUGCUUUUCCCCGGGAAGAAUAAGCCCCUCGUGAGGGGUGAUGCCGGUACCGGGGGAAUAAGGAUCGGCUAACUCCGUGCCAGCCGCCGC